rnacentral:misc_RNA from 1 species
UUUGUGGUGCCAUAAGCCCA